GAUUGAAAUAGCAGCUGACUUGAUAGAGAUCAUAUUGUCACCGGGUCAUGCACUCAUUCUUCUGAAGAUACAACCACCACAGCAAUGCCUGCACUUUUUAAAUCUGUUUGAAUGAUUGAUUGAAGGUAGGCAGUCAUUAAUUAGGGUAUGCAUCGAACUUUUGUUACACAUGCAGCCUGUGGAGUGAAGUGAGGUGAAAAUUUAUGGCACGUUUAGAGCCUGGUAGAGUUCCUUGAAGCCUUAAUGUCUGAAGCUGCUUAGCUCACUCAAAAUAUGUGAUAAAUUUGUGUUUGUUCUGCAGAGUCUCUGGAAACCUCGGCCACCUCACUAGUGGGAGAUAUAGGGAGGCCGGGGUUGAACUUUGUUUAGAGGACAAUGCCUCGGAAGAGUUUGUCAUAGGCUCCAGAAGGGAUGACGGAAAGGUGUAUGCAGGCUGUGGCUCCUGGAUUAAUGAAAAAGCCUGGGGAUGUUUGUUCAGCGCUUCUACAGACUCUAUGUUCUGUAGAAGUGCUGCUACUGUAUUUUGGACCCCCAAACAACUGAAAACCAGGAGUGUCACUGGAACACUUUCGAACAAGGCACGGCAUCUUGGCUACACUGAGGCAAAGCCAGCGCUGGCACCAGAGAAAGUAUCUUCUCUAAAGGCAUUGUUCGCCAUUUACAUGGGUGACAUGCCAAAGGAGGUGUCAGACAAGAGAAUGAAGGCGGCGGAAAACACUUGUCGCAGAAGCUCGGCGAUAUGCAGCGGUGGUGAACUCUGCGAACGCA